AAAACUGUACACCCGGCAAGUCGAAAACCCCACAAGGGCGGCUUGGGCAAAAAAGGGUAUCCCGGUGGACUGAAAACCCGAAAGGGCGGUCCAAGAAAAAGAGGGAUUGAAACGAACAACUGCGUCUAGCAUGAUCGUUUGUGUUUUGGUUAAGGCACCUGGAUAAUCUCCAGCAGGGAUCAGUCGGAAGCGUCUUGUUCAGAAGGCAGAAAGAGC
rnacentral:lncRNA from 1 species